UUAAAUGGGGGAUUUGCGAAGAGAAAAUGCGUGAUUUUGCUGAAAUGGGGUAUUUGCGAAGAGAAAACGCGUGAUUUUUGCUUAAAUGGGGGAUUUGCAAAGAGAAAAUGCGUGAUUUUCGCUUAAAUGCGGAAUUCUCGAAGACAAAACGCGUGAUUUUCAUGUUCAAUGGGGGAUUCUCGAGGAGAAAACACGUGAUUUUCGCUUCAAUGGGGGAUUCUCACAGAGAAAACUCGUGAUUUUCACUUAAAUGGGGAUUCUCGAAGAGAAAACACAUAAUUUUCGCUUAAAUGGGGGAUUUGAGAAGAAAAAAUGAGUGAUUUUGGGGUUAAAUGGGGGAUUCUCGAAGAGAAAACGCGUGAUUUUUGCUAAAAUGGGGAAUUCUCGAAGGGAAAACGCGUGAUUUUCUCUUAAAUUGGGGAUUCUCGGAGAGAAAACGUAUGAUUUUCGGGUUAAAUGGUGGAUUCUCGAAGAGAAAACGUGUGAUUUUCAGGUUAAAUCGGGGAUUCUCGAGGAGAAAACGCGUGAUUUUUGCUUAAAUGGAAAUUCUCGAAGAGAAAACGCGUGAUUUUUGGUUAAAUGGGGGAUUUGCGAAGAGAAAACGCGUGAUUUUCGGGUUAAAUGAGGGAUUCUCGAAAAGAAAAAGCGUGAUUUUCGGGUUAAAUGAGGGAUUCUCGAAGAGAAAAAGCGUGAUUUUCGGGUUAAAUCGGGGAUUCUCGAGGAGAAAACGCGUGUUUUUUGCUUAAAUGGGGGAUUCUCGAAGAGAAAACGCAUGAUUUUCGCGUAAAUGGGGGAUUUGCGAAGAGAAAACGCAUGAUUUUUGCUUAAAUGGGGGAUUCUCGAAGAGAAAACGCGUGAUAUUCAGGUUAAAUGGGAGAUUUGUGAAGGCAAAACGCAUCAUUUUUGCUUAAAUGGGGGAUUUGUGAAGAGAAAACGCGUGAUUUUCACUUAAAUGGGGGAUUUGCGAAGAGAAAACGCGUGAUUUUUGCUUAAAUGGGGGAUUCUCGAAGAGAAAACGCGUGAUUUUCGCUUAAAUGGGGGACUUGUGAAGAGAAAACACGUGAUUUUCACUUAAAUGGGGGAUUCACGAAGAGAAAACGCGUGAUUUUCUCUUAAAUUGGGGAUUUGCGAAGAGAAAAUGCGUGAUUUUCAAGUUAAAUGCUUGCUUAUCGAAGAGAAAAUGCGUGAUUUUCGUGUUAAAUGGGGUUUCACGGGGAGAAAAAGUGUUAUUUUCGCUGAAAUGGGGGAUUUGCAAAGAGAAAACGCGUGAUUUUUGGCUUAAAUGGGGGAUUCACAAAGAGAAAACGCGUGAUUUUCGCUUAAAUGGGGGAUUCUUGAAGAGAAAACGCAUGAUUUUCGCUUAAAUGGGGGAUUCUCGAAGGGAAAAUGCGUGAUUUUCGCUUAAAUGGGGGUUCUCGAAGAGAAAACGAGUGAUUUUCGGCUUAAAUGGGGGAUUCUCGAAGAGAAAAUGCGUGAUUUUUGCUUAAAUGGGGGAAUUGCAAAGAGAAGACACGUGAUUUUCGCUUAAAUGGGGGAUUUGCGAAGAGAAAUCACGUGAUUUUUGGGUUAAAUGGGGGAUUUGCGAAGAGAAAACACGUGGUUUUUGCUAAAAUGGGGGAUUUGCAAAGAGAAAACACGUGAUUUUUGGUUAAAUGGAAGAUAUGCGAAGAGAAAAUGUGUGAUUUUUGCUUAAAUGGGGGAUUUGCGAAGAGAAAAUGCGUGAUUUUUGCUGAAAUGGGGGAUUUGCGAAGAGAAAACGCGUGAUUUUCGCUUAAAUGGGGGAUUCUUGAAGAGAAAACGCGUGAUUUUCACAUAAAUGGGGGAUUCUCGCAGAGAAAAUGCGUGAUUUUCGGGUUAAGUGGGGGAUUCUCAAAGAGAAAAUGCAUGAUUUUCACUUAAAUGGGGGAUUCUCAAUGAGGAAACGCAUGAUUUUCGCUUAAAUGGGGGGUUCUUGAAGAGAAAAUGCUUGAUUUUCGCUGAAAUGGGGUAUUUGCGAAGAGAAGAAGCGUGAUUUUUGGCUUAAAUGGGGGACUCCUGAAGAGAAAACGCAUGAUUUUUCACUUAAAUGGGUGAUACACGAAGAGAAAACGUGUGAUUUUCGGGUUAAAUUGGGGAUUCUCGAAGAGAAAACGCGUGAUUUUCGAAUUAAAUGGGGGAUUUGCGAAGAGAAAACGCGUGAUUUUCAGCUAAAAUGGGGGAUUCUCAAAGAGAAAAUGCGUGAUUUUUGCUUAAAUGGGGGAUUCUCUAAGAGAAAACGCAUGAUUUUUGGGCUUAAAUGGGGGAUUCUGAAAGAGAAAGCGCGUGAUUUUCGCUUAAAUGGGGGAUUUGCGAAGAGAAAACGCGAGAUUUUCACUGAAAUGUUGGAUUCUCGAAGAGAAAACGCGUGAUUUUUGGUUAAAUGGGGGAUUUGUGAAGAGAAAACGCGUGAUUUUCGGUUAAAUGGGCGAUUCUCGAAGAGAAAACACGUGAUUUUCGCUUAAAUUGGGGAUUCUCGAAGAGAAAGCAGUGGGGUGAUGUCAUGACACGGGUGACAAUGGGGUGACAUUGGGGUCACACUAUGGGGACAGUGGGGUGAGUAAUGACAAUGGGGUGACUGGUGUGGCAGUGGGGUGAGUGGUGAGAAUGGGGUGAGAAUGGGGACACGGCAGUGACACGGAGGGGACACAGCGGUGCCGACACAGUGCCAACCACUGCCAGCCCUGCAGUGCCUAUGGGCUCAGCACUGUCCUCCCCC
ensembl:lncRNA